rnacentral:sRNA from 1 species
UGUCGUAGUGCUGUCGAUUAGGCGAUGA